rnacentral:rRNA from 1 species
CCUACGGGAGGCAGCAGUGAGGAAUAUUGGUCAAUGGGCGGGAGCCUGAACCAGCGAAGCCGCGUGAGGGAAGAAGUUACAGCGUAUCGUAAACCUCUUUUGUCAGGGAACAAAGGCGGGGACUAGUCCCCGGAUGAGGGUACCUGAAGAAAACGCAUCGGCUAACUCCGUGCCAGCAGCCGCGGUAAUACGGAGGAUGCGAGCGUUAUCCGGAUUUAUGCGGUUUAAAGGGUGCGAAGGCGGCCUGUUAAGUCAGCGGUAAAAGCCCGGGGUUCAACCCCGGCGAGCCGUUGAAACUGGGGGGCUGGAGUGGGAGAGAAGUACGCGGAAUGCGCGGUGUAGCGGUGAAAUGCGUAGAUAUCGGGCAGAACCCCGGUGGCGAAGGCAGCGUACCGGCUCCACACUGACGCUGAGGCACGAAAGCGUGGGUAUCGAACAGGAUUAGAUACCCGGGUAGUC